GGCCAAGAAGCAACAAAGUCAUUUCUCGGAAUGCACUGCCACAUUCUGUAUGAGAAAGUGACACAUUGUAAUUCACACAGCAAUUUUUGGUGGCUUGGGUGACCUGCAAGGACAGUGGAGACACAGGUGCUUUGUGUGCUCUGAGGCUUAAGCUCAUUUAGCCCAGUUUAGCGGAGAAUCUUCAAAGUCUUUCAAACCAAUCAGGGAUGUACAAGUUUAACCCUCCGAGCCUCCACUUUCUCGAGAGUUGGACUUUUCUGAAUAAAACCCCUAAUUUUCCAAGAUUGCCCCACAGGCUAGGCUGUUUCACUAGGGUUAAUUACAAACGUGUUUAUAUGUUUAGUUAUAACGAGCAGCCAAAUUACAUGGGAGCAACGUACCCUGGGAAGAUGUGUACCGCCCCCUACUCUGCAGGAAUCACGAUGUAUCCCAAGGACAUGACCUUGGAGGCCUUUUCGGUCAUCCUCACCCAGAUGCUGGGGCUCAGUCUGGGAAUAUCAUAUGACAAUCCGGAGAAAUGUCGCUGCUCGGAAAAAGUCUGCAUCAUGAAUCCCAGGGCAAUG
rnacentral:lncRNA from 1 species